CCUAAAAAACCGUUACUCAGUUCAGAUUGCAGGCUGCAACCCGCCUGCAUGAAGUCGGAAUUGCUAGUAAUCGCGGAUCAGCACGCCGCGGUGAAUACGUUCCCGGGCCUUGUACACACCGCCCGUCACACCAUGGGAGCCGGUAAUACCCGAAGUCAGUAGUCCAACCUCGUGAGGACGCUGCCGAAGGUAGGAUUGGCGACUGGGGUGAAGUCGUAACAAGGUAAC
rnacentral:rRNA from 1 species